AUUAUACUCGCCCUACUCUGCCGUGCCCUGCCCUGCCAUGCCCUGUACACGCUAUAUGUCGGUAAGAACGAGUUGCAGUUGCCCCAGGGAGAGGGCAGUGGAUAAAUAAAGCGGGUCGCUCGAGCACUUCAAAGGAGAGCAUCGUAUCUGGCGCUACCUAUUCUGAAUCCUCCCUGGCGGACGGCUGAAGGCAGUAGCUGACCCCGUCUUCAAUUUGGGAUAGAAGUUAGGAUGCAAGUGGGUAAUGCCAGAAAAGAAGAAAAAAAAAGUUUGGCGCGUUGACAGGACGCUCCGCAGCCAGGGCUCCACCUCUAACCUUUCAACGAGCGUAAUGCAGCAGCAGAAACUUGAGGCAAAGAGCGAAAGCUGAGCUGCACCUGGGGGAAACGAGAAACGGGAAACGGGACACGGGACACGGGAAACUUGCCCCAGUGCACAUAAAAAUUAAAAUACCUGCCACGCGGUUGCAUACCAAGUGGAGAGGAAGAGCUGCAGUUCACGUUUCUUUUGGCUAAUUUAUGAUUUGCCAUACGAAUACACGUAUAUUUGGAUGGCUAUGGCUCUACCACCAGUGAUGCUUGCAGAAGAUUGAAACUUUAAGCGGAAUUCUUAGCUGUCAUCAGGGAAAGCGGAAAGCGGGGACAUGUCUCAACUCCGUGAACACCCGCAUCCGCACCCUCACCCGCACCUUCAACUGCAACUGCAACACCAAG